CCUACGGGAGACAGCAGUGAGGAAUAUUGGUCAAUGGGCGGAAGCCUGAACCAGCCAAGUAGCGUGCAGGAUGACGGCCCUACGGGUUGUAAACUGCUUUUAUACGGGAAUAACGCGCCUUACGUGUAGGGCUUUGCAUGUAGCGUAUGAAUAAGGACCGGCUAAUUCCGUGCCAGCAGCCGCGGUAAUGCGGAAGGUCCGGGCGUUAUCCGGAUUUAUUGGGUUUAAAGGGAGCGUAGGCCGCAUGUCAAGCGUGCUGUGAAAGGUUCGGGCUCAACCCGGGCCUUGCAGCGCGAACUGGCGUGCUUGAGUCCGCGUAAGGCAGGCGGAAUUCGUCGUGUAGCGGUGAAAUGCUUAGAUAUGACGAAGAACCCCGAUUGCGAAGGCAGCUUGCUGCAGCGGAACUGACGCUGAUGCUCGAAAGCGUGGGUAUCGAACAGGAUUAGAUACCCUUGUAGUC
rnacentral:rRNA from 1 species